rnacentral:rRNA from 1 species
UGAAUACGAGACGCUACGGCGUCGAAGCAGUCUAUGUCAUACUUCCAAGAAAAGCUUGCACUGUCAUAAACAAAUAAUGCCUGUACAUAACCGACACAGGUGGGUAGGUAGAGUAUACUAAGGGGCGCGAGAUAACUCUCUCUAAGGAACUCGGCAAAAUGACUCCGUAACUUCGGGAGAAGGAGUGCCUUAUUUAUAAGGUUGCAAUAACAAGAUCCAAGCAACUGUUUAUCAAAAACACAGGUCUCCGCUAAGUCGUAAGACGAUGUAUGGGGGCUGACGCCUGCCCAGUGCCAGAAGGUUAAAGAAGUUGGUUAGCAUUAGCGAAGCUGAUAACUGAAGCCCUGGUGAACGGCGGCCGUAACGAUAACGGUCCUAAGGUAGCGAAAUUCCUUGUCGGGUAAGUUCCGACCCGCACGAAAGGCGUAAUGAUUUGGAUACUGUCUCGGAGAGGGGCUCGGUGAAAUAGACUUGUCUGUGAAGAUGCGGACUACCUGCACCUGGACAGAAAGACCCUAUGAAGCUUUACUGUAACCUGAAAUUGAAAUUGGACUUUAUUUGCGCAGUAUAGGUGGGAGGCGUUGAGAAUAUUCUUGCGGGAAUAUUGGAGCCAUCAGUGAGAUACCACUCUUGUAAUGUUAGAUUUCUAACUUUGAAUCAUUAUCUGGUCAAAGAACAGUUUCAGGCGGGCAGUUUGACUGGGGCGGUCGCCUCCUAAAUGGUAACGGAGGCGCACAAAGGUUUCCUCUGAACGGGUAGAAAUCGUAUCUAGAGUGUAAAGGCAUAAGGAAGCUUGACUGUGAGACCUACAAGUCGAGCAGGGACGAAAGUCGGUCUUAGUGAUCUGACGGUGCUGAGUGGAAAGGCCGUCACUCAACGGAUAAAAGUUACUCUAAGGAUAACAGGCUGAUCUCCCCCAAGAGUUCACAUCGACGGGGAGGUUUGGCACCUCGAUGUCGGCUCAUCGCAUCCUGGGGCGGUAGUACGUCCCAAGGGUUGGGCUGUUCGCCCAUGAAAGCGGUACGCGAGCUGGGUUCAGAACGUCGUGAGACAGUUCGGUCCAUAUCCGGUGUAGGCGUUAGAAUAUUGAGAGGAGCCUUCUUUAGUACGAGAGGACCGAGAAGGACAUACCUCUGGUGUACCAGUUAUCGUGCCAACGGUAAACGCUGGGUAGCUAUGUAUGGAGAGGAUAACCGCUGAAAGCAUCUAAGUGGGAAGCCCACCUCAAGAUAAG